rnacentral:rRNA from 1 species
UUGGACCUCGAUCCAGGUAGGGUAACCCCCCUAAAUUAACCUAUUAUUAACGGGGGAGAAGA